rnacentral:lncRNA from 1 species
UCUAGAGAUGAGUUUCGCCAUAUUGCCCAGGCUGGUCUCAAACUCCUGAGCUCAAACAAUCUGCUGACCUCGGCCUUCCACAUACUGGGAUUACAGGCGUUAGCCACCACACACGGGCAACUUACCUUAAGAACAAUGGACUCCAGGUUCUUCAGUUUUGGAACUCGGACUGGCUCUUCUUCCUCCUCAGCCUGCAGACUGCCUACUGUGGGACCUCACAAUCAUAUUUAUUGGCUGGCGGUUCCAAGAUGGCCAAAUAGGAACAGCUCCAGUCUAUAGCUCCCAGCAUGAGUGACGCAGAAGAUGUGUGAUUUCUGCAUUUCCAAUUGAGGUACCAGGUCCAUCUCACUGGGGCUUGUCGGACAGUGGGUGCAGUGCACCAAGUGUGAGCCAAAGCAGGGUGAGGCAUCGCCUCACCUGGAAAGUGCAAGGGGUCAGGGAAUUCCCUUUCCUAGCCAAGCAAAGUGGCGACAGAUGGCACCUGGAAAGUUGGGUCACUCCCACCCUAAUACUGUGCAUUUCCAAUGGUCUUACCAAACGGCACACCAGGAGAUUAUAUCCUGCACCUGGUUUGGAGGGUCCCAUGCCCAUGGAGCCUUGCUCAUUGCUAGCACAGCAGUUUGAGAUCCAACUGCAAGGCAGCAGUGAGGCUGGGGAAAGGGCGCCUGCCAUUGCUGAGGCUUGAGUAGGUAAACAAAGUGGCCAGGAAGCUCGGACUGGGUGGAGCCCACCCCAGCUCAAGGAAGCCUGCCUGCCUCUGUAGGCUCCACCUCUGGGGGCAGGGCAUAGCCAAACAAAUGACAGCAGAAACCUCUGCAGACUUAAAUGUCCCUGUCUGACAGCUUUGAAGAGAGUAGUGGUUCUCCCAGCCCGCAGCUGGAGAUCUGAGAAUGGACAGACUGCCUCCUCAAGUGGGUUCCUGACCCCCGAGUAGCCUAACUGGGAGGCACCCCCCAGUAGGGGCAGACUGACACCUCACACAGCUGGGUACCCCUCUGAGAUGAAA